CCUACGGGUGGCAGCAGUGAGGAAUAUUGGUCAAUGGGCGCGAGCCUGAACCAGCCAAGCCGCGUGAAGGAUGACUGCCCUACGGGUUGUAAACUUCUUUUAUAAAGGAAUAAAGUGAGGCACGUGUGCCUUUUUGUAUGUACUUUAUGAAUAAGGAUCGGCUAACUCCGUGCCAGCAGCCGCGGUAAUACGGAGGAUCCGAGCGUUAUCCGGAUUUAUUGGGUUUAAAGGGAGCGUAGAUGGGGUGUUAAGUCAGUUGUGAAAGUUUGCGGCUCAACCGUAAAAUUGCAAUUGAUACUGGCAGGCUAGAGUACAGUUGAGGUAGGCGGAAUGCGUGGUGUAGCGGUGAAAUGCUUAGAUAUCACGAAGAACUCCGAUUGCGAAGGCAGCUUACUAAGCUGCCACUGACAUUGAGGCUCGAAAGUGUGGGGAGCAAACAGGAUUAGAUACCCGAGUAGUC
rnacentral:rRNA from 1 species